rnacentral:rRNA from 1 species
GUAGCAAUACACCGGAAGAUUUAGUGGCGAACGGGUGAGGAUCACGUGAGAAACCUGCCCCAGACUUUGGGAUAACAAAUGGAAACGUUUGCUAAUACCGGAUGCCGUUACGAAGUGGCAUCACUUUGUAACGAAAGAAUUUCGGUUCGGGAGGGCCUCGCGGCCUAUCAGCUAGUUGGUGGGGUAAAGGCCUACCAAGCCGACGAUCAGUAGCUGGUCUGAGAGGACGAUCAGCCACACUGGAACUGAGACACGGUCCAGACUCC